rnacentral:rRNA from 1 species
CCUACGGGAGGCAGCAGUGGGGAAUAUUGCGCAAUGGGCGAAAGCCUGACGCAGCGAAGCCGCGUGAGGGAUGAAGGUCUUCGGAUCGUAAACCUCUGUCAGCAGGGAAGAACGGUCACUGUGCUAUUCAGCAGUGAAUUGACGGUACCUGAAAAGGAAGCACCGGCUAAUGCCGUGCCAGCAGCCGCGGUAAUACGGAGGGUGCGAGCGUUAAUCGGUAUUACUGGGCGUAAAGCGCUCGUAGGCGGUAUGUCAGGUCAAGAGUGAAAUCCCCGGGCUCAAAGUGGGAAAUGCCUUUGAAACUGGCAAACUGGAGUGUGUGAGAGGAUAGUGGAAUUCCAGGUGUAGGAGUGAAAUCCGUAGAUAUCUGGCGGAACAUCAGUGGCGAAGGCGACUAUCUGGCACAUAACUGACGCUGAGGAGCGAAAGCGUGGGUAGCAAACAGGAUUAGAUACCCGGGUAGUC